rnacentral:lncRNA from 1 species
UCCAUUUCAAUAAAGCCAAAAUUUGAAACUAAAAUUUGUCAUUUUCUUCGAAUGACCUUACUCUGAAUACAACGAUUAGCCACACAUUCUCCUACUUUACUCAUAAACCCAUCUAACAAAACAAACUCCCCAACAAUCCCUUAAAUCCAUAUUAAGUCCAUACUAUGUCUGUAAAACCAAAUUUCUAUUUUAUUAGUAAAAAAGAAACUAACGCCAGAAUUACUGUAAAAAAAACACACAUAAGUAGAUAAGUAUGUGGGCAAUGUUCAUGAUAGAUUGGCGGAAUCUAGGAUGAAAGCCAGCGGCGGUUUUGAGUCUACCAGCGAUGGGUCAUGGGUUUGCUAAGAGUCCUAAAAGCGAGUGUUCCGAGCUUAAACAGAGGGAGGACCAUUCCUCUUCUUCUUUCUGAUCUGAGCUUAAACAGUGGGAGGACCAUUCCUCUUCUUCUUUCUGAUCUGGAUCUGCUUUUUUUUUGUUUCGUUCUAUGGUCGGCGAUCUGAGAGUUGGAGAUCUGGAUUUGGGUCGGCGAUCAGAGUUGGAGAUCUGAGAGUUGGGAACUAAAUUAGUAAUUUGUUAAAGUAGAUCUGCAGUGCUUUGUUCGGUUAUGUCAAUAUAUCACCUUUUUAAAGUUUUUCUCGGUUAUUCGGUUAAUCCGAAAUGUUAAAAUUAAAACCGGUACAAAUUAA